ensembl:misc_RNA Y_RNA Y RNA
AGUGCAAUGCAGUGGUGUUUAUAACCAAUUGAUCACAACCAGUAACAGAUUUCUUUGUUCCUUCCCGUUCCCACUGCUUCAUUUGACUAAAUUAAA